rnacentral:rRNA from 1 species
AGUGGCGAACGGGUGAGUAACGCGUGAGGAACCUGCCUCAAAGAGGGGGACGAACAGUUGGAAACGACUGCUAAUACCGCAUAAGCCCACGGGUCGGCAUCGACCAGAGGGAAAAGGAGCAAUCCGCUUUGAGAUGGCCUCGCGUCCGAUUAGCUAGUUGGUGAGGUAAUGGCCCACCAAGGCGACGAUCGGUAGCCGGACUGAGAGGUUGAACGGCCACAUUGGGACUGAGACACGGCCCAGACUCCUACGGGAGGCAGCAUG